rnacentral:rRNA from 1 species
GAUGAACGCUGGCGGCGUGCCUAAUACAUGCAAGUCGAGCGAACGGACGAGAAGCUUGCUUCUCUGAUGUUAGCGGCGGACGGGUGAGUAACACGUGGAUAACCUACCUAUAAGACUGGGAUAACUUCGGGAAACCGGAGCUAAUACCGGAUAAUAUUUUGAACCGCAUGGUUCAAAAGUGAAAGACGGUCUUGCUGUCACUUAUAGAUGGAUCCGCGCUGCAUUAGCUAGUUGGUAAGGUAACGGCUUACCAAGGCAACGAUGCAUAGCCGACCUGAGAGGGUGAUCGGCCGCACUGGAACUGAGACGCGGUCCAGACUCCUACGGGAGGCAGCAGUAGGGAAUCUUCCGCAAUGGGCGAAAGCCUGACGGAGCAACGCCGCGUGAGUGAUGAAGGUCUUCGGAUCGUAAAACUCUGUUAUUAGGGAAGAACAUAUGUGUAAGUAACUGUGCACAUCUUGACGGUACCUAAUCAGAAAGCCACGGCUAACUACGUG